rnacentral:rRNA from 1 species
UACAGAGACUGCAAGCGUUAUUCGGAUUCACUGGGCGUAAAGGGUGCGCAGGUGGCCGUGUGUGUGAGGCGUGAAAGCCCGGGGCUUAACCCCGGAAUUGCACCUCAAACUACAUGGCUAGAGCAUUGGAGAAGGGUAGCGGAAUUCAACGGUGUAGCAGUGAAAUGCGUAGAUAUCGUGAGGAACACCAGAGGCGAAGGCGGCUACCUGGACAAUUGCUGACA